GCUUCCAGGGCUGGGAGACAGCAAGGAAAACCUUGUCACGCGAACAGCAACUGCUGAGCUGAGAUCCCCAGAACCCAGAUAAAUAGCCCAUUGCACUAAAGACGGGAAAAGGUCCACCAAACUCACGUCUCAUGGGAAGUUUCAGUUACUUGGCAAUCAAGAAACACCAAGGGAACAGGCAAGUGAAACUAGGAGUGGUUCAUCAUUUAACCUUCAAAAAAUCACGGGGAGGGGAUCGGCAUGCUGGGGCACACUGAAGUAACGGCGGAGAUGGAAUCCCCCCCACCCUGUGCACGACACAGUGCUGAGGAAUGGGAGCCAAGGAAACACCUGCAAUCCAGGCUGAGCUCUGCAAUGUAACAGUUAGGUGGAUCGGAAACCCUUGGAGCUGAACACACAUAAUUAUGAGAUCUGCUGAGCCGAGAAGGCACCAACCUAAUAUUCCUCUCUUCUGGGAAAUCUCAGGAGGCUCCUGGCUGGCAGAGCCCUCUUCCUCCUCCUGCUCCUCUGGCUCUCUACCCACACCUGUGUCUGACACCCAGCCCUGUCGGCUGUCAUUCUACAGGGAUGUCCACUCCCGCGUGCCCCCAAGACUCAUGGCUUUGUCUACAGCCUGACGUUCUUAGAGUUUUCCUGAGCAUGUUCGAGCACUAGAAUAAAAUUAUAAAUGUA